rnacentral:rRNA from 1 species
UCGAACGGCAGCACGGAGAGCUUGCUCUCUGGUGGCGAGUGGCGAACGGGUGAGUAAUAUAUCGGAACGUGUCCAAUAAUGGGGGAUAACGAGUCGAAAGAUUCGCUAAUACCGCAUACGCCCUACGGGGGAAAGCAGGGGAUCGUAAGACCUUGCGUUAAUGGAGCGGCCGAUAUCUGAUUAGCUUGUUGGUGAGGUAAAGGCUCACCAAGGCGACGAUCAGUAGCUGGUUUGAGAGAACGACCAGCCACACUGGAACUGAGACACGGUCCAGACUCCUACGGGAGGCAGCAGUGGGGUAUUUUGGACAAUGGGGGCAACCCUGAUCCAGCCAUUCCGCGUGAGUGAAGAAGGCCUUCGGGUUGUAAAGCUCUUUCGCAAGGGAAGAAAACUUAUGAUCGAAUAAAUCAUGAGGUUGACGGUACCUUGAUAAGAAGCACCGGCUAACUACGUGCCGGCAGCCGCGGUAAUACGUAGGGUGCGAGCGUUAAUCGGAAUUACUGGGCGUAAAGCGUGCGCAGGCGGUUUUGUAAGUCGGAUGUGAAAUCCCCGGGCUCAACCUGGGAGCUGCGUUCGAAACUGCAAGGCUAGAGUGUGUCAGAGGGGGGUAGAAUUCCACGUGUAGCAGUGAAAUGCGUAGAGAUGUGGAGGAAUACCAAUGGCGAAGGCAGCCCCCUGGGAUAACACUGACGCUCAUGCACGAAAGCGUGGGGAGCAAACAGGAUUAGAUACCCUGGUAGUCCACGCCCUAAACGAUGUCAACUAGUUGUUGGUAGAGUAAAAUCUAUGAGUAACGUANNUAACGCGUGAAGUUGACCGCCUGGGGAGUACGGUCGCAAGAUUAAAACUCAAANGAAUUGA